ensembl:lincRNA
GGGGCACGGUUUGUUUACCCCGCAGCGAGCCGGCCUGCGCGGCAUCGCCGAACGUGCGACUGACUGGACGAGCCCGAUGACGAUGACGGCCGACGGGUGUCGAGGAAGAGCGGGGCCACCGCGAUGCACCGAGCCGUGGCGACCGGUCAAGGCGAUGACCUCCCGUAUCUCAGACCCGGAAAGGUGUUUUUGGAAUUUGAGAAUGCAGAACCGAAAGGAUUGUUUUCUAACAGUCCCUGGUAUCCAUGGAAAAGCUUGUACAUGCAUUGUAUGAAAGAUCACAAUUUUAAACCGAUCUUCACGAAACUUCACCACAUGCUAGAGUUUGUCAGAAGGAAGAAUCCUCGUUUUUUUGAAGUCAAAAGGUCAAAAGGUCAACAGAGACGAAAGGUCAACAUCUUAGCCAAAGAAAUCUGCAUUAUGAAGCAAUCAAGAAAAGCCACACAAGAUGUGCCAGUGGAUUACUGUAUGUACGCUGUUGUGCCUUUUUGCGUACAGCUGUUCUGACAAACGUUUUCUUCCAUCCUGAAAAGAGAUGAAAUGGCAUCUUUAAGACCACAGGACGUUGGUCACUGCUGCACCCUUAGGAGGAGUCUUUUUCAUCGGAUGAUGGUGCACCUACCUCUCUGGUCGAGCUGUUGAAGAUGAAGAGCCGCCAUAUUUAUUUGAACGUGGUUUUCAUUCCUCGACCAAGUUGGUAUUUUGUUGUUGAAUAACAUCCACUGAUAGUGCUAGUUGGUUAAUGGCUUUGAUUUUGUUUCUUGGGGGGGAUGGGGGGAGCUAUGUUUUCAGGAUCAGCCUCGUUCUACGCAGUAUGUUUGACGUCAUUGGAACGCACAACUCCAGGUAAAGUGAGCUGAAGCGUCGUGGGGUUUUUUUUUUCUGGUAUCUACUAUAAAUGGAUGAGGUGUGUGUGUGUGUCAUGCUUUUUUGUCUAUUAAUUACGUACGUCUAUUAAUUAAUUACAUACUAUUGGAAUGUACCUUUUGAUAUUUAAGGCUUCUGAGACCCUUUUGACCUUUUAAGACCACCAAGAUCCCAAAAGACCUCUAAUGAAGGGAUCCAAGGCUUCCAUGCUCGGAAACUUAUUGUUUUUGUUCGGGCUCGUAAAAAACACCCAAGGCCGUGAAGACCAAUGAAAAUUUGGUCCAAUGGACCAAAUCGACCCCAAGUAUUUUGAAAAAAAUAUCAAAAAGUUUGUGCAACAAGUUUCUGAGAAUGUAGUGAGUGUCCAACUCCCAUAAGUUUUGAUGUCUGUCUUCAUUGACAAAAGAAGCGCUGAUGACGUAAUGUAUGCCUAUGGAUGCUACACCGACAAUGAUUAUUUUUUCUUUUUAAAAAAGUCUUUGGAGAUGUGUUCAAAAGCAAUCCACGUGUCGUGUCAGAGUGUUUACGUGCUGUUGUGGAAUCUGUUAGCUCGUCAUGUCACUCAGAAUUGUAUGAUUCCGACUGCAGCCCAAACGGAUGUUUGAACGAGCUCCGAUUUCGUGUUGUUUUCCGAGUAGAUAUCAGUGCCGCGGUGUUUCACUCGGAAGGUAAGGUAUUUUGAGUCCUUCAUACCUCGGCGCAGCAUUCAUAUGGGUGGGCGGUUCACAGCGGUGGGUGGGGAUGUGUUUGAUCGAGAGAGAGCGCGCGGCCACAAAGUAUGCGAAAAACAAGGAAGGAAUGCACAGGGCAUGCUCGCGCGUUCCUUCUGACUCAUAACUGACUCACGUGUCAGGACCUCCACUCGCGCUCACCCACGAUUGGCUGUGGCGCCCUGGUGAUCACGUGGUGCCGCGGUGGCGCCCUUUUUGCAACGCGAUUAUUAUCGGAACACACGUUGCGUUCGACCCUUUCUCGUCGGUUUAAUGCAUGCUUUGUUCGUCUUUUAUCUUUUGAUGGUCGAUCUUGUUAUUUUAAACCUGCUCAACGAGACAUUACUUUGUAUUCGUUUGGGACAGGAUUACAUCUCAAUUGAUGGCUUUUAGAUGCAACACACGUGCUGUGAGGUCCGAUGGACCGAGAGAAAGAAAGGGCAAAGAGGAGUAGAUCCCGUUCAAAACGCCAAUGUUGUGCACGUGGUCGGUGGACCAUCCGUGGAUACUGAAUAGAUGAACCGGACCAAGCAAGAUCUGUCGGCAAAGUUCAAACAGAGGAAGGAAUAUUGACGCGCAGCAGCACGUGAGUGAUUAUUAACACACAAAGGUUGGAGAUGUUCGUGGUUCUGUCUCGUUGUCUCAUGAUUGGCUUCGAUUAUAUAAUAUAACGUUUGAAUGGUGGGAUGACUUAUGGAGCAGAGAAUGCACCGCGCUUCGGAGGGAACGUUAUAAAGCCGCCUAAACCGUCUGCUUGCACCAACUUUAUUUAUUUAUCGAGCAACUUGCAGUAAUUGUUUCGACCGUGGGGGGG